UCCGGUUUGUCACCGGCGGUCUCCCUAGAGUUCCCACCCGAAGUGCUGGCAACUAGGGACAAGGGUUGCGCUCGUUGCGGGACUUAACCCAACAUCUCACGACACGAGCUGACGACAGCCAUGCAGCACCUGUCUCUCGGCUCCCGAAGGCACCCCAGCAUCUCUGCCGGGUUCCGAGGAUGUCAAGACCAGGUAAGGUGGGGAUGACGUAUCGGCAU
rnacentral:misc_RNA from 1 species